CAAUUGAAUUGUUGACAUUAUAGGUCACAUUAAAGGUGGAAAACGUUCUGACAUGAUUUAUCUUUGUCUCAUUAUUUUACAUCAUAAGAACCUGGCAUUUUAACAGGGGUGUGUAGACUUUUUAUAUCCACUGUAUAGUCCAUGUAUGCCGACAUAGUUCAUGCUCUGUAUGAAGGCAGUAAGCCCUAUUAUAAACAUAAAAAUAAGAACCCUUUAACGUCCUCUCAAUCAUUUGGAAGACCACAUUUUAAGUCACUCAGUGAAGAAUGUAUUGAACUUAAUUCAACCUGUUUACAGUUUUUCUCAAUUGCUAAAACACUAAACCCUAUUGUCUGAACCAAAUGCUCAGUCAAUCACUCUUUUGGUAAAACCAUAAGCACUUUUCACCUGUUUAGACACAACUUGCCAACAUUUUCAUUGUGAUGCAUCCGUGCUGCAUAAUGGUGAGCACAGGUGACAAAAGUCAAACCCAAUUAAAGCACAGGUGUCACCACUUGAACACAACAACUCAAAAUUGAUCACACUUGUGGCUAAUGAUGUGGGGGAACAUAUACAGUAAGCCAGUUCAGAGAGCACUGGUUUGUGAGGCCCUACAAUGGAUAGAAAUCUGAGAGAGAGAGGAGAUCGAGGUCGAGGUGGUCAGCGAAGACAAAGAACAGUAAUAUCUGAUGAAAUCAGAGCUACUGUAAUUGACCAUGUUCUUGUCCAUGGUAUGAGUAUGAGGGCGGCUGGACAAAGGGUACAACCAAACAUCAGUAGAUUCACUGUGUCCACCAUAAUCCGAAGAUUUAGAGAAGAGAACAGGUAAUUACCUUUUUUUGACAUUAUAGUACAGUAUGUAAAUGUUGACAGCAAUUACUGUAUGACAUACUAUAUACUGUUCCACAGUAUACUGUAAGUAAAUACUGUAUAUGUUUCAGUACAUCACUGUACCAAUGUACUGUAGUAUUGUAAUGGAGGGUUGGUCUAACUGUUUGCAGGCCUAGUAUUCCAUGUAUAUUUUUUGUAACUCCAUGUUCUCUUUUUGUAGAAUUGAAAGACUGCCACAUGGGGUGGGAGGGCAGGUAUGUUCUCCCCGCACCAAGAGACCCUAAUUGUUGAUAUGGUCCGUGAAAACCAUGCCAUUAAACUGAGUGAAAUUCAGCAGAAGAUCAUUGAGGACCAUGUAAAUUUUGGGGGUAUCAACAGUGUCAGCCUCUCUGUUGAUCGUGUCCUCAAGCGCAACAGACUGCGCAUGAAACAACUAUACAGAGUGCCCUUUGAUCGCAACUCAGACAGAGUGAAAGAGAAAAAAUUCCAAGGGUUUUUCAACUGGAUGCAAUGGAAAGACCCCAUGAAUACAUCUACAUGGAUGAAGCUGGGUUUAAUCUCACCAAAAGGAGAAGGACAGGCCGUAAUGUGAUUGAUCAUCGGGCCAUUGUUGGUGUUCCUGGGCAGUGUGGUGGCAAUGUCACAUUAUGUGCUGCCAUCAGCAAUCAUGGGGUUGUCCACCAUCAUGCCAACCUGGGGCCCUACAACACUCACCUCAUUUCCCUCAAUCACAUGCGAGAUGCUCUGUUAGGGCAGCAGGAUGAGCAUCCCAUCUAUGUUGUUGUUUGGGACAAUGUGAGUUUUCACAGAGGACUCGAGGUUAGAGAGUGGUUCAAUAUGGUUUUGCAACAUGCAUUUAGCCUACAGUGAACAAUAAACAUUUAUUUCUCCAGCUUCAUGUCCUGAGCAUUGUGUUUUCUAUUUUUCUACGUAGUGUUUAGUGACUAUUCAGUAGUGUUAUUAAUUUUGAUUGACUCGGGGCAUGAUUUGACAACAUAGUUCAGUUUUGAGCACAGAUUGAACUGCCCCGAGUUUUUUUUACAAGUACUAGGUGUAAAUGCACAAGAUUUCUGUUUUGUUUUUUGUACAAGUGCUAAAUGCACAGGGUUUUUUUGGUUUUGCAACAUGCAUUUAGCCUACAGUGAACAAUAAACAUUUAUUUCUC